GAACUGUUCUCUGUUUUACAGGUGUCACGUGGGGAUGUAAGCCUGUACGGAGAGCAAUCACUACAUUUACAAACUACUUUUUAGYCUUGGUUGAUCCUGGCAGCAGUCUUUGGCAAAACUUAAAGCAGCCAUGUGUUCUUAUAGAAGACUAAUUAGUAUCACCUUAUAGUGAUUUCCCAUGAUGUAGCAGGAAAUAACUGAAUUAGUCAAACCCCUCUGGAUGACAGAUGACAGCAACAUAAACAAGAGGAAAUGCCUGAAAUGAAGGCCCUGGAACAGGGGAAUCAACAGACCGCCCAGAGUCACACCUGAGGAUGCAUGGGACAGCCAACGGUCUGAAAACUCAGGUAUGAAAGAUGAGAGGCUAGUAGGUGACAGCCUACGAAUAUGGACCAGUCGUUUGGAUUCUGUAUGAAAACUGGAUAGAGGUAAAAAGGUACUAUACACAUUUACUGGGUAUUUUUGUGUGAAUGUAUUGAUUUUGU
rnacentral:lncRNA from 1 species